GCAAUACUAAAUCCAACCUUCUGAAACCCUUUUUUCUUACGGUGUAUAUGUCAUGAGUUAAUAACGUAUUAGAGCUCAAGCAUGUCUUCUUCGAAAACGCCGUAGUCAUCGUCGUUCUUUUUCUUUUGCUUUCUCUUCCUCUUUUUCGUUUCUCUUUUUUGAUUAAUCUGUGUUAUACUGAUUAAUACUACUAAUAAAUUUUCUAAUUUCAUAAAUUCAACAUACCAUCUCAUGUAUCUUUUCUUCUGAAGGAGUGACCCUCAUUGUUUUUUUAAGAUAUAUAAUGUUUUCAUUUUUUUUCUUCUCUUUCAACCUUUGUUGCUGUUGAACAAGUUUUUUGGGUUCAAAUGGCCUUUCCUUUUUGGCUAAUCGUUUUCUGCGAAAGUAGCCAUCCUCAUUAGCAUUUGGAUUUUUUUGCGAUUCAAUGAGUUUCUGUAAGGCAGAUUGGGCCUUAAGUUUCGACAUAAUGGCUUUUUAAGGGGGAUAUGCCGUAAUUUGGAAUUUUGGAAAAAAUGUGUGUUUAAGGAUAAUUGACUAGUCAAGCAAAGCAAGGAUGUGCAAGCUAAAAAAAUGAUAUAAAAACUUUCAAAAU